AUUGAACGCUGGUGGCAUGCUUAACACAUGCAAGUCGAACGGUAACAGGUCUUCGGAUGCUGACGAGUGGCGGACGGGUGAGUAACGCGUAGGAAUCUGGCCCAUUUGAGGGGGAUACCAGUUGGAAACGACUGUUAAUACCGCAUAAUAGUCUGUGGAUUAAAGGUGGCUUAGGCUGCCGCAGAUGGGAUGAGCCUGCGUUGGAUUAGCUAGUUGGUGGGGUAAGGGCCUACCAAGGCUACGAUCCAUAGCUGAUUUGAGAGGAUGAUCAGCCACAUUGGGACUGAGACACGGCCCAAACUCUACGGGAGGCAGCAGUGGGGAAUAUUGGACAAUGGGGGAAACCCUGAUCCAGCAAUGCCGAUGUGUGUGAAGAAGGCUCUAGGGUUGUAAA
rnacentral:rRNA from 1 species